UUAACUUUGUCACUGACAAAACAAACUUAAUAUGAUUUAGUUAAGUAUGACCCGUGUAUAAAUUUUAAACGUUUUAUAUAUGUGCGAGUGUCAGUGAAAUGUGAUGGUGGUGGUGUACACAGUAUGAGCACGUGGAUGGCGCUGUUCGGGCUAGUGUGGCUGCUGCGAGUACGCGGAUCUUUAUGCGGAUGCACAGCAUGCAAGCGUGCUCGACUGGAAACACAAGACAUCCAAUAUAGAAGACCGUCGAGAGUUUCGAGCACGCCAUGUCCUGACGAAGAGGCAUCGGGCACACAGCGUGUGCCCAGUCCCAACGAGCGAGCGACUUUUGACGUUAUCGCACUACAGAGGUUCACGAGAGAUGUCACUGUACAGACUGAUUUCGAUGAUGAUGAAAUAGAGGACUUAGACAAAAUUGAGCUGCAAAUUAAGGAAGAAUCGAACGUUAGCAACUACGAAAGCGGGCGUGAACAAUCGACGCUGAGUCCGGAAGCCAGUGAAAAGGUCGUAGGAAGCUUUCAGUAUUUAAUGCAUCAUAGUACAUCUAAUCCCGACGAUGUUUGGGAAACGACGGAUGUGACACUUGAACGGGGUAUUAGUGGCCUAGGGCUGAGUAUAGCGGGUAGUGAGAGCGGCGGUGACGUCAGCAUUACUCGAAUAGCACCAAAUGGCGCAGCCAAGAACGACGGCCGUCUGCAAACCGGCGACAUCUUGCUGCAGGUAAACGACAUCUCCGUAGAAGGUGCUCCACACUCUGUUGCAGUUGAUGCAUUACAAAAGGCUGGAAAUGUUGUGAGAUUAAGAGUUAGAAGAGCUCGUAGAGCAAUGGUUGUAACACUUUGUCGUGGAAUACGGGGAUUAGGAUUAGGUAUCGCCGGUGGAGCGGACGAUGCUGCAGGAGGUGAAGGCAUUUUCAUAUCUCAUAUUGCUGUUGGAGGUGCCGCCCACCAUGACGGUAGAUUAAAGCUAGGAGAUAAAAUUUUAGCCGUCAAAGAUGAAAAUGGAAUUGAAACGUCGUUGAUAGGAGUUACUCAUGCGAUGGCCGUCUCAGCGUUGCGUAGUACAGGAGAUCACGUCACAUUAGUGGUUCUGCCAGCCGCUGGGUCUAUUCCGCCCGUUGCUCGGACCGCACCAUUGUAUUCUACAAGAACCCAAGCCACAUCCUGCUCCACCCUUCAUGAUCUAUCCGAAGAGGAGCUCAAUAAAAUACCCAGAUGUGUGCGCAUGGUGCGACUGGUACGUACGGGUUCCCGAUUGGGAAUGGAUAUAGUUGGGGGCUUAGGAGGUGAAGUCGAUGGUAGCAUUGGUCCGGAAGACGAUACCUGCGGCGUAUUUGUAUCCGGCGUGUCAACCGAAGGAGCGGCUUAUGGAUUGCUUCACAGGGGUGAUAGAAUACUGAGUGUUGAUGGACGAGAUCUAACACGUGCGACUCACGAGCAGGCGGCAGCUGCAUUAAAGUAUUCAGGCAGCGCUGUCACCAUAGCCGCACAAUAUCAACCGGAGCACUACGAAAGGCUGCGCGCGCGCAUACGGGCAAUCAACGCGGCAGCUUUGUCCCCACACGCACACUCACGUAUAGCCACUCAUAUACCAGUUCAUCCUGAUGUCCACGCUAGCUAUCCAAGGUAGCAGUGACACAAUUGUGAAAUAGAAUAUUCUUAAACAUAAGACCGUAGAUAGUGGACAUACAUUGUGGAUUUAUAUAAUCAAAAUACCAGUGGCCGUAACAUGCCCAAGGGAUUAUUGUAAGAUAUUUUAAAAGGGAUUUUCUUUUUCAUCAUCGUAUUCAAUUGAUAUCUGAUGUGCUAAAUAAAACGAAUCAUAUGUUUAAUUUUAUACUAAAACUAUUUUUGUUGUAUCAGAUGAGUUCAGCUAUAA